rnacentral:rRNA from 1 species
GACGAACGCUGGCGGCGUGCUUAACACAUGCAAGUCGAACGGAAAGGCCCUGCUUUUGUGGGGUGCUCGAGUGGCGAACGGGUGAGUAACACGUGAGUAACCUGCCCUUGACUUUGGGAUAACUUCAGGAAACUGGGGCUAAUACCGGAUAGGAGCUCCUGCUGCAUGGUGGGGGUUGGAAAGUUUCGGCGGUUGGGGAUGGACUCGCGGCUUAUCAGCUUGUUGGUGGGGUAGUGGCUUACCAAGGCUUUGACGGGUAGCCGGCCUGAGAGGGUGACCGGCCACAUUGGGACUGAGAUACGGCCCAGACGCCUACGGGAGGCAGCAGUGGGGAAUAUUGCACAAUGGGCGGAAGCCUGAUGCAGAAACGCCGCGUGCGGGAUGACGGCCUUCGGGUUGUAAACCGCUUUCGCCUGUGACGAAGCGUGAGUGACGGUAAUGGGUAAAGAAGCACCGGCUAACUACGUG